rnacentral:rRNA from 1 species
UGAGGAAUAUUGGGCAAUGGGCGCAAGCCUGACCCAGCAACGCCGCGUGGAGGAAGACGGCCUUUGGGUUGUAAACUCCUUUUGUCGGGGAAGAGGAAGGACGGUACCCGGCGAAUAAGUCACGGCUAACUACGUGCCAGCAGCCGCGGUAAUACGUAGGUGACAAGCGUUAUCCGGAAUUACUGGGCGUAAAGCGCACGCAGGCGGCCGAUCAAGUCUGACGUGAAAUCUCCUGGCUUAACUGGGAGGGGUCGUUGGAAACUGGUUGGCUUGAGGUGGUGAGAGGGGUGUGGAAUUCCCGGUGUAGUGGUGGAAUGCGUAGAUAUCGGGAGGAACACCAGUGGCGAAAGCGGCACCCUGGCACUGACCUGACGCUCAUGUGCGAAAGCGUGGGGAGCAAACGGG